rnacentral:tRNA from 1 species
GGCUCUGUGGUGUACAACACGUUAGGUUGCAAACCUAAAGAAGUCGGCUCACGCCGGCCGGGGCUU